rnacentral:rRNA from 1 species
CAGUCGCGAAAUCCCUGGGCUUAACCUAGGAACUGCGAUUGUGACUGCAAGGCUAGAGUGUGUCAGAGGGGGGUGGAAUUCCACGUGUAGCAGUGAAAUGCGUAGAGAUGUGGAGGAACACCGAUGGCGAAGGCAGCCCCCUGGGAUAACACUGACGCUCAUGCACGAAAGCGUGGGGAGCAAACAGGAUUAGAUACCCUGGUAGUCCACGCCCUAAACGAUGUCAACUGGUUGUUGGGUGGGUAACCACUUAGUAACGAAGCUAACGCGUGAAGUUGACCGCCUGGGGAGUACGGUCGCAAGAUUAAAACUCAAAGGAAUUGACGGGGACCCGCACAAGCGGUGGAUGAUGUGGUUUAAUUCGAUGCAACGCGAAAAACCUUACCUACACUUGACAUGCCAGAAAUCCCGCAGAGAUGUGGGAGUGCCGCAAGGAAUCUGGGCACAGGUGCUGCGUGGCUGUCGUCAGCUCGUGUCGUGAGAUGUUGGGUUAAGUCCCGCAACGAGCGCAACCCUUGUCACUAGUUGCUACAUUUAGUUGGGCACUCUAGUGAGACUGCCGGUGACAAACCGGAGGAAGGUGGGGAUGACGUCAAGUCCUCAUGGCCCUUAUGUGUAGGGCUACACACGUCAUACAAUGGUCGGUACAGAGGGUUGCCAACCCGCGAGGGGGAGCUAAUCUCACAAAGCCGAUCGUAGUCCGGAUCGCAGUCUGCAACUCGACUGCGUGAAGUCGGAAUCGCUAGUAAUCGUGGAUCAGCAUGUCACGGUGAAUACGUUCCCGGGUCUUGUACACACCGCCCGUCACACCAUGGGAGUGGAAUCCGCCAGAAGUAGGUAG